rnacentral:rRNA from 1 species
AACGAACGCUGGCGGCAUGCCUAACACAUGCAAGUCGAACGAGACCUUCGGGUCUAGUGGCGCACGGGUGCGUAACGCGUGGGAACCUGCCCUUAGGUUCGGAAUAACUCCCCGAAAGGGGUGCUAAUACCGGAUAAUGUCUUCGGACCAAAGAUUUAUCGCCUUUGGAUGGGCCCGCGUUGGAUUAGCUAGUUGGUAGGGUAAAAGCCUACAAAGGCGACGAUCCAUAGCUGGUCUGAGAGGAUGAUCAGCCACACUGGGACUGAGACACGGCCCAGACUCCUACGGGAGGCAGCAGUGGGGAAUAUUGGACAAUGGGCGAAAGCCUGAUCCAGCAAUGCCGCGUGAGUGAUGAAGGCCUUAGGGUUGUAAAGCCCUUUUACCCGGGAUGAUAAUGACAGUACCGGGAGAAUAAGCUCCGGCUAACUCCGUG